GACGAACCGUCCAAACGUUUAUUCGGAAUCACUGGGCUUACAGAGUUCGUAGGCGGUCUGGAAAGUUGGGUGUGAAAUCCCUCGGCUCAACCGAGGAACUGCGCUUGAAACUACCAGACUCGAGGGAGAUAGAGGAAAGCGGAACUGAUGGUGGAGCGGUGAAAUGCGUUGAUAUCAUCAGGACACCGGUGGCGAGGCGGCGACCUGGGUAGAUACUGACGCUGAGG
rnacentral:rRNA from 1 species